CCUACGGGAGGCAGCAGUGGGGAAUAUUGGACAAUGGGGGAAACCCUGAUCCAGCGACGCCGCGUGAGUGAAGAAGUAUUUCGGUACGUAAAGCUCUAUCAGCAGGAAAGAAAAUGACGGUACCUGACUAAGAAGCCCCGGCUAACUACGUGCCAGCAGCCGCGGUAAUACGUAGGGGGCAAGCGUUAUCCGGAUUUACUGGGUGUAAAGGGGGCGUAGACGGCGGCGCAAGUCUGGAGUGAAAUGCCGGGGCCCAACCCCGGGACUGCUCUGGAAACUGGGAGGCUUGAGUGCAGGAGAGGUAGGCGGAAUUCCUGGUGUAGCGGUGAAAUGCGUAGAUAUCAGGAGGAACACCGGCGGCGAAGGCGGCUUACUGGACUGUAACUGACGUUGAGGCUCGAAGGCGUGGGGAGCAAACAGGAUUAGAUACCCGGGUAGUC
rnacentral:rRNA from 1 species